CUCAGGGGUUUCACCGCCACCUGCUGCACCGGAGAGGACUCACCUGUCCGGGUGGUCGUUUCCUUCCCGUGCGUGGUGGAUCUGUCUCUUUGUAAAACCGAUGAAGGACAUUCACGGAAAUAUGGUCGACGUUUCUCAAUGAACAGACUCCAGGGAUUUUAGAAUCGAUUCAUAAUAACGUCUCAGUCUGGUUUUCUCUCUAAACCGGUUCAUACACAGUGUAGCUUUAAUUCAUCCAUUGAAAACAACAGCGUUGACUUUAGUCGCAGCAGGUGGUGUCGGAAUAACAUCCACCGGCAGACAGACUUAAACUGCUGCUGGUGACUGCAGGACACUACACCCACCAAAACCACGGUCACGCUGUGAGCAGGAGACGCAACAGUAAAAGAUGAGUAAAUACAAACACAGCCUGCCAGUCGAAGGUUCAAUACAAGACGCGCAGAACUGAAAAGCUAAAUAAAUAAGCGUUACCGAGUAGAUCAGAAUUUUCAGACACUGUGCUUUAUUUCAACAUCAUGUUUACAGUUUGAGCGACAGGGGGCGCUGCAGGGAACAACACUGGCCGACAGGUGACACCAGUUACAGUCAAACAGUUUUUUUCUAGAUGGGACCAUUAAAGACAAACUCCAGCCUGGAUUUAUCUUGUCAUUUGAAGGCGGAGACGUUUUAACAUCUUGUCUGAGACGUCAGAUCUUGGGUCUGUAGUUUGAUGCCCUCACAUCCAGAUAUCUGACGUACAGUCUCCUCCUGGAUAUCGCAGCUCGUGGGCGAGAGCCGGACCGCCUGGUUCUUUACCGAAAUCCACCAGGAAGUUUUCAUUCAGGGAGAGACCUCCACUAACAGAGUUCACAUCGAUCUGCAUCAUCACUGAGCCCUCUCUGAACAGAGAGAAGAGAGAAUAUGAGGCUCUCACCUGGAUAACAAGCACAAUACGGCCAAAAGUAUGUGGACAGUGAAGGGAAAUGUUAAUGCUGAGGUAUUCGAUGAUAUUUUGAUAUUUAAUCUGACUUUACCCAACAGUGUUCUUCAAACCUCUAUGAAAAUGAGUCCCAGAACUUUUUAGCUUAAACCCUUGAAUAAUGUUGUGAUGUCAAAAAGGUGUUUUUAAUGGAUGUUAAUGGAUUCAUUAAUGAACAGUAAUAUCUAUAUAAAAGUAUCAUUUAUGAAUGAUCUUACAUCAGCAGUAGUAUUACAGUAGUACUGCAGUAGUGUCAGUGCCGUACGUACUUGAGCAUGUCUGGGUAGAACUGUUUGUCCCAGCUGCUGUACAGAGACGUCGUCACAUAAAGUCUCUGACCAUCCAAACUUAACUGUAACAUCUGAGGACCUCCGUAGACACGCCUCCCCUGAGAGACAGACGGGUGGAGAGAGAGAGGGAGAAAGAGAGACAGAUAAGAGAGACACAGUUGGAAGAGGAGAGAAAGAGAGAAGUGGAGAGAGACAGGUGGAGAGAGACAUAUAGGUGGAGAGGGACAAUCGAUCAGUGAGAUAAAUAAAUAUUAAAUAAAGCCCAGCAGCGGACAGAGGGCAGGAUGUUGGACAGACAGACUGGUCCAUCCUCUCCUGUCGCUCUGUCUCUCUGCCUCCUGUGUGUGGUACCUUGAUAAUGCAUGGGCGGGGCUGUGGCUGGUUCUCAGGGUCCUCCAGGAUGAGGACGGGUCCAUCACUGACAAUACUUCCUCCCACAAACACCUGGAACAGACAGACGGAUGAGCUGUUUCACUCCAAGGUUUUUACCUGCUCGCCAUCAUCACUGGACAGUUGUUAUAACAUCACACCUGGCCGACCAAUCGGGGGUUCCUCCUGUCUGUGAUGUCAUACUGUCGGAUGUCACCGUGCAGCCAAUUACUGAAGUAGAGGAAACGGUCGUCCAAUGACACCAGGAUGUCUGUGAUCAGACCUUCACAGAGAGACAGGUAACAAGUCAGACCAGCAACCAGACCAGCAACCGGUUACAAACUGGGAACCAGACCAGAAACCAGCCAGUCAGACAGACAGACUCACCGGGCAUCUCAGGCAGCAUCCAUCCCUCCACCUUCUUACUGGGAACACUGAUCACCUUCUCUGCUGCCCAGUCCCCCUCCUGAAGACACAGACAAACUGAUCAAAAAACAAAACCAGGCAGAAAAACCGUAGAGAAAACCAGUUGCAAAACUGUUUAAUAGAGUUCGGAGGAGUUAUUUAGAGGGUUCAUUUUCUGUUAGGUAACAUAGUUGGAGCACUUGGCUUGGAAGGACAGGAGACCAUUUUACAUGCAGGUUUACUCCUUCACAGGCAGAUGGCUACUCCACUGUCUUACUGGGUCCAGUAAUUCAAAGAGCAGAUCCAGGAUAGUCUACUCUCCUCCCUAGCACCACCUGCCUAUACAGGUAAACAGUGACAAGUGGUCAGUGGCGUCCCUUACCCGCUUCCCUGCUGAAACAGUCCAAGCUCAAGGUAAUCUAGUUUUAAAGGCCCUCAUCAUAUCUGGUCUUCUCCAGAGAAAGAUCCAACUGAUGUCCAACCAGUCAAAGAACACAAACACUAGACUCACUGUUUAUCCCAGUAAAACUGGAGUCCUACAGAGUCUAGAAUACUGUGUUACUGACUGGUGUCUUACAGGGCCAGAACCUAGAACCCAGUAUUACUGACUGCAGUCUCACUGGGAUCUAGAACCUUGUGGUACUGACUGACUUAACUGUCUUAAGGGGUUGGGACCGAGAAACCCUUUGGUACUAACUACCGUCUUACUGGGAUUAAAACUGAGAAACCUGUGGUACUGACUGGAGUCUUACUGGGAUCUUGAACCAUUUGGUACAGACUGAAGUCUUAGGCUGGAUGUCCAUAAAGCGUUUUUUUCCCGGCAGAAAAGCACUGGCAGGGUGCUGGGGUGAAGCGCUCCCCAGCUCUGUAAGACAACAUAUCACCAUUGCCGUAUGAUAGACCAGCAUAGCCCCUUUGGCUUUUUAUUACUAUUUGUUUAUUAAGUUCAGAGAUUUUCAACUAGAAGCGUUUGGAGCAGCGGCACAAAAAAGGCGAAGCGCUCCGAAAAAGGGCGCUGUGUGCAGCGCCUUGUCUCUAGGCGGCUGCAUGCGUCCACAUACGUUCUCUUCUUAUUAGGAACAACUGAAAAAAGACACUGGCACUCACACACAAAAAAAAAAGGGAUACAGCUACACGCCCGUUAUAGGGAUCAGAACCUAGAACCCUGAUGUACUGAGUGGAGUCUUACUAGGAUCUAGAACCCUGUGGUACUAACUGGUGUUUUGUAGAAUCUGAAGACAGUUGAUUUCAGAGCACAUCCUACGUAGCCCUCGGUGGCACUGGGGUUGUGGAGGAAUCGGACCUCCAGAGGAAUAGCACCCUCCUCACCCAGAUCGAGCGUCUGCAGCUUUCUGUGGGUGGUCCAGUCCCAAACAUGGAUGGAGCUGCCAUAGUGACCUGGGAAACCAAAAAUGAUGAGUCAAAGUUUGACUUUUGAGUUUUAUCCAAAGAUGUAACAGGUAAUUUGACUUUUUUUUUGGACAUAUUUAGAGUUGAGCGAAAAUUGUUAUUAUUAAUUGGCUUUUGCUUUACUGCAUCACAUGAACGUGUCACAUCUUUAUCCGUGCACUACUGAAUAGAAACUAGGACCAGGACCUAGAAACCUUGUGUCAGUCACUGGAAACAGACCUAAUAUCACGCUGUACUAACUGAAUUUUUACUAGAACAGGAAACUGGAACGAAGUGGUAUGAACUGGAGUAUUAUCGGGAUCAGAACCCUGUGGUACUGCUGGUGUUCUGUAGAAUCUCAACACAUUUCCCACAGAGCACAUCAUGUGUAACCCUCAGUAGCGAUGAGGUCAUCUUACUGCGAUCAGAACUGUCAACCCCACUAUACUGACUGAGUCUUAUUUGAAUAUGAACCUAGAUCCCUGCAGAACAUAUUGGAAUUUUACUAGCAUCAGAACGUAGAACCCCGUGUUACUGACUAGAGACUUACUGGGAACUAGAACCACAGGUACUGACUGGAGUCUUAAUUCAAUAGGAACCUAAAAUCCUGUGGUAAUAAUUGUAGUAUAACAGGAAGAGAAACUGCCCUCCUUGCAGAAUUGACUGCAGCGUCACUGGGAUCAGAACAUAUAAUCUAGAGUCUCAUGGAUGAUGGUGCCUAGAUGACAUUUUUGUGACAUCGGACUGGUUGUGACUAUAAAAGAGCUAAAGGAAACCAAGGCUCUGGCAGGAAAAGACCGAAUGUUUCCUCCUGACUCACCUUCCUUGAUGUGGGCAGGAUUAAAACCAUCAGCCAGAGCUUUAGGUGCGCCCCAUUCGGUGCUGAUCAUUACGUUGUGUCGAGGUUGGUACCAGAAGUCAUACCCAAAGGGCGCUGCUUCGCCUGGAUGCUCCCAGUUACCGACCACCUUGAAGGUCUCACCGUCCAGCAGAAUGAAACCACCUGAGAGGACGACAGCAGAUGUAACACUGAAGCUGUCCACUAGAGGCUGCUACAACAAUAAUCAGUGGAGAAGGUUUGUCAUUCAGAGUGUGCGGCGCUGGUUGAGCUCUGGAUAACGAGGCUUUUCAAACUGUUGGACAGUUCUCCGACAUUCCUUUGCUUUGUGGUGUUUAUAAUACAACCUUCACAGUUUUCUGUCUACAUGAGGAGAUGUGUCUGAGGAUUUGUGAUCCAGUCUACUGGAGGUCUCACCCUUGCCAUUGCCGGAAGGAUCUCCCAUGCAGCUGAUCAUGAUUUGCCCAUUGCCCAGACAGUGAGAAGUGUGAGGGUUUGCCAGGUCACACUUCCAGUAAAGAUCCACAGGUUCCACCAUCUGAAGACAACAAACAAUAUAAAAACAACUUAAUAACUGUAAUUUUUCAUUUUCACCUUUAUCACAGAAGUUCGGUGAAAACAAAAUGACUUUUUUAUUCAUGCAGCACUCUUCAAAACCAAACUUACAAAGUGCUUCCCAAUAAAAGCUGGGAACUGGAACUGAGAUCCACUGCUGGAUCCAGAGCUUCACCUCCAGGAUCAGGUCCCUGUGAACCACCACAGUCUGAUACAGAGUCCACAUUACUUCUGACUCUGCACCAACCCACCUGGUGAACCAGACUCUGAGAUACUUGAACUCCAUCUCUUGGGGCAGUGAUUCCCUCCCAACCUGAAGGGAACAAUCCACUGGUUUCUAGCAGAGUACCAGGACCUAAGACUGGGAGGUGCUGACUCUCUUCCUGCUGCUUCACACUCAGCUGUAAAAUGUUCCAGUGCUCAUGGAGGUCCCAACUCUGAUGAAACCAACAGAACCACAUCAUCUGCGAAAAGCCAAGAACCCCUAUUGCUGUUUUUAAACCCUCCAGUAUCACUUCUGUUCUUCAGUGGUUUAUUAAAGUCUCUGAGGAGAAUGGGCUGUUUAAUCAUUACACUGUGACUCAGCAGACUGUCAGACAUUUAUUCAUUAGACUGACUUUCUAAAGAGCUGCUGGGAGUAAGUUUAUCAUGUAGUGUGAACUCAGGAUGAAUCAUCGUCGUCCUCCUCCCCCUCCUCUUCCUCCUCCCCAGAACAGCAGACUCCGCGUCCUCCGCAUGUUUUCACCAUCAGCUCAGCUUUCUCAUUGUACAUUCUCUGCCCAGUGACAGAAGGUCUGAGGGAAUUAUUCCUCUGAAUCUAAAGAAAACAGCUGCUGUUUUCAUAAGUCACGGCCAGGGCCCAACCAACCCAUUAUGGGACCCCAGGGCAAAAAUCAGCUGUGGACCUCACUGAACCCCCAUUCUCCCAGCUCUCUUUGCACAUAGGGAACCUUCUACAAGACAGGACUUGAAGAUGAGUCACUGUGGUUCUGGAUGAAAAAACAGAUUCCAGAGAAACAAGCGACAACCUUCAGUUUUAUUCUGACUUCACUGGAGACGGUGUGCGGUCCGCUAACACUGAGGUAAAGAUAAAGUUCAUUUUCUGAUUCUGGGCCAGUUUGGGUUCAGCUCGGUGAACAUGGUGACGGGUUUUUUUCUUCUACAAAUUGUAUCUUUAGACACUUUAGAGGAACCAGGUAGGUGUUAAACUGACUGUGGGCUCCACGAUCAUCAGACCAAAAACUGUCUUUUUUCCUACUUACAGUUAGGUCCCUCUCGAGAUCUUGAAUAUGGAUGUUUUUCUUUUUCACAAUAACAGGACUAUUUUAAAUUUAAGAAUUAUUUGAUGUGAAUGGCUGCAGUCAAGUUUAGGCUUGGCCAGAAAACAAUGCUACAAUAAGCAUUUUAUAAAAUACAUUGAACUUUGACGAUGCCAUGCACGAGAGCUGAUUACAGACCAGUGACGCAACCAACCAGCGUAACCUCUGACGAUUCUGGCGAAUCUGACAAAAACUAUGAGCUGAUAACAGCCUCAUAACUUAUAGUCAAGUCAUUUCUAUUUACACAGGCCAAUAUCACAAAUCACAAAUUUGACUCAAGGGGCCUAACUAUCAGCAUACGAUCCCCUCUGUCCUAAGGCCCUCGAAUGGUACAAGAAACCCUCCCCCAAAAAACCCCUUUUCCGGCAGAAACGUGAGGUAGAGCAACAGAGGAGGGAUCCCUCGUCUCUUAAGGACCAACAGACAGGAAGUAGAUGUUGUGUGUAAAGAACACAACAAUAUGGCCUGUGGUAAUAAAUAACACUGAACGAUAAAUAAAUAUCAAAGAUUUUUUCAGAGGAGCUUUUACUCAGAUUUGAAUCAGAUCAAACCACGUCACUGAUCUGACCUCAUACAGAUCAAGGGUCAAACACAGAAUGUGAAUAUUCACUAAAGUAUCACAACCAAUGAUUAACACACAGCUUUUCAUUGACUUUUGUAUCGUCUCGCUUCCCAUUACGAAACGCACAAACACACACACACACACAGACACAGGUUACAACCAGGUGUGGUCGCUCUCUUUGCUCAUGGGUACCAGUGAGAUAAACCAGUCAGUUUGUGUAUUUAAACAAUGAGCGGGACUCCGGCGCCCUGCAGGGACUGCUAGAGUUACUGCUCUAUAUAGGAUUGGCUGAGCCGCGUACAGGUCAUUCUUACCGUGUGC